CAGCCGCCGCGGUAACACGUCGCUCCGCGAGUGGUACCCGCGAAUAUUGGGCCUAAAGCGUCCGUAGCCGGUCCGGUAAGUCCUCGGUUAAAUCGGCGGGCUUAACCCGUCGGCUGCCGGGGAUACUGCCGGGCUCGGGACCGGGAGAGGCCGAGGGGAUUCCCGGGGUAGGGGUAAAAUCCUGUAAUCCCGGGAGGACCACCUGUGGCGAAGGCGCUCGGCCAGAACGGGUCCGACGGUGAGGGACGAAAGCUGGGGGAUCAAACCGGAUUAGAGACCCGGGUAGUCCUGGCUGUAAACGAUGCGGACUAGGUGUCGGGCAAGCUAAGGGCUUGUCCGGUGCCGCAGGGAAGCCGUUAAGUCCGCCGCCUGGGGAGUACGGCCGCAAGGCUGAAACUUAAAGGAAUUGGCGGG
rnacentral:rRNA from 1 species